UACGGAGGGAGCUAGCGUUGUUCGGAAUUACUGGGCGUAAAGCGCGCGUAGGCGGCUUUGUAAGUUAGAGGUGAAAGCCCGGAGCUCAACUCCGGAACUGCCUUUAAAACUGCAUCGCUUGAAUCCAGGAGAGGUGAGUGGAAUUCCGAGUGUAGAGGUGAAAUUCGUAGAUAUUCGCAAGAACACCAGUGGCGAAGGCGGCUUACUGGUCCGGUUCUGACGCUGAGGCGCGAAAGCGUGGGGAGCAAACAGG
rnacentral:rRNA from 1 species